GCAGUGUUGGUUCAGCGGUAGAAUUCUCGCCUUCUAUGUGGGAGACCCAGGUUUGAUUCCCAGCCAGUGCA
rnacentral:tRNA from 1 species